UACGUAGGGGGCCAGCGUUGUUCGGAAUUACUGGGUGUAAAGGGUUCGUAGGCGGUGCGGCAAGUUGGGGAGUGAAAUCUCUGGGCUCAACCCAGAGACGGCUUCCAAAACUGCUGUGCUUGAGUGUGGGAGAGGCUCGUGGAAUUGCAGGUGUAGCGGUGAAAUGCGCAGAUAUCAGGAGGAACACCGGUGGCGAAGGCGGGUCUCUGGGCCGAUACUGACGCUGAGGAGCGAAAGCUAGGGGAGCAAACGGG
rnacentral:rRNA from 1 species